UAAGGGCGCACGGUGGAUGCCUUGGCACUAGAAGCCGAUGAAGGACGUUACUAACGACGAUAUGCUUUGGGGAGCUGUAAGUAAGCUUUGAUCCAGAGAUUUCCGAAUGGGGAAACCCAGCAUGAGUUAUGUCAUGUUAUCGAUAUGUGAAUACAUAGCAUAUCAGAAGGCACACCCGGAGAACUGAAACAUCUUAGUACCCGGAGGAAGAGAAAGAAAAUUCGAUUCCCUUAGUAGCGGCGAGCGAAACGGGAAGAGCCCAAACCAACAAGCUUGCUUGUUGGGGUUGUAGGACACUCUAUACGGAGUUACAAAGGACGACAUUAGACGAAUCAUCUGGAAAGAUGAAUCAAAGAAGGUAAUAAUCCUGUAGUCGAAAAUGUUGUCUCUCUUGAGUGGAUCCUGAGUACGACGGAGCACGUGAAAUUCCGUCGGAAUCUGGGAGGACCAUCUCCUAAGGCUAAAUACUCUCUAGUGACCGAUAGUGAACCAGUACCGUGAGGGAAAGGUGAAAAGCACCCCGGAAGGGGAGUGAAAUAGAACCUGAAACCGUGUGCUUACAAGUAGUCAGAGCCCGUUAAUGGGUGAUGGCGUGCCUUUUGUAGAAUGAACCGGCGAGUUACGAUUUGAUGCAAGGUUAAGCAGUAAAUGUGGAGCCGUAGCGAAAGCGAGUCUGAAUAGGGCGUUUAGUAUUUGGUCGUAGACCCGAAACCAGGUGAUCUACCCUUGGUCAGGUUGAAGUUCAGGUAACACUGAAUGGAGGACCGAACCGACUUACGUUGAAAAGUGAGCGGAUGAACUGAGGGUAGCGGAGAAAUUCCAAUCGAACCUGGAGAUAGCUGGUUCUCUCCGAAAUAGCUUUAGGGCUAGCCUCAAGUGAUGAUUAUUGGAGGUAGAGCACUGUUUGGACGAGGGGCCCCUCUCGGGUUACCGAAUUCAGACAAACUCCGAAUGCCAAUUAAUUUAACUUGGGAGUCAGAACAUGGGUGAUAAGGUCCGUGUUCGAAAGGGAAACAGCCCAGACCACCAGCUAAGGUCCCAAAAUAUAUGUUAAGUGGAAAAGGAUGUGGCGUUGCCCAGACAACUAGGAUGUUGGCUUAGAAGCAGCCAUCAUUUAAAGAGUGCGUAAUAGCUCACUAGUCGAGUGACACUGCGCCGAAAAUGUACCGGGGCUAAACAUAUUACCGAAGCUGUGGAUUGUCCUUUGGACAAUGGUAGGAGAGCGUUCUAAGGGCGUUGAAGCAUGAUCGUAAGGACAUGUGGAGCGCUUAGAAGUGAGAAUGCCGGUGUGAGUAGCGAAAGACGGGUGAGAAUCCCGUCCACCGAUUGACUAAGGUUUCCAGAGGAAGGCUCGUCCGCUCUGGGUUAGUCGGGUCCUAAGCUGAGGCCGACAGGCGUAGGCGAUGGAUAACAGGUUGAUAUUCCUGUACCACCUAUAAUCGUUUUAAUCGAUGGGGGGACGCAGUAGGAUAGGCGAAGCGUGCGAUUGGAUUGCACGUCUAAGCAGUAAGGCUGAGUAUUAGGCAAAUCCGG
rnacentral:rRNA from 1 species